GAUGAACGCUGGCGGCGCGCCUAACACAUGCAAGUCGAACGAUUAAAGCACCUUCGGGUGUGUAUAAAGUGGCGAACGGCUGAGUAACACGUGGGCAACCUGCCCCUUUCAUUGGGAUAGCCACGGGAAACCGUGGAUAAUACCGAAUACUUCGAGACUUCCGCAUGGAAGACUCGAGAAAGCUCCGGCGGAGAGGGAUGGGCCCGCGGCCUGUUAGCUUGUUGGUGGGGUAACGGCCUACCAAGGCAAUGAUGGGUAGCUGGGUUGAGAGACCGACCAGCCAGAUUGGGACUGAGACACGGCCCAGACUCCUACGGGAGGCAGCAGUGGGGAAUCUUGCACAAUGGGCGAAAGCCUGAUGCAGCGACGCCGCGUGCGGGAUGAAGGCCUUCGGGCUGUAAACCGCUUCCAGCAGGGACGAGGCGAAAGUGACGGUACCUGCAGAAGAAGCCCCGGCUAACUACGUG
rnacentral:rRNA from 1 species